CUCCUUGUGCUUGUGACAAUAUCGUAACCAAUGAAGGUCUCCUGAGGUGCGAUUAUUGCUAGUUGAAAACUUUUACCUUGCCACUUAAUAACACACCUUUUAAUAGCAAAGUAGAAGAUUGGGUUACGGUGUAAGCUUCAAAUGAGACAUACUCGUAGAAAUACGAGUAAGGCUAGGAAUCUUUUGUAAUUAUUUUUUUAC
rnacentral:snRNA from 1 species